UUUUUACUCCAUCCGUCCGAAAAUACUUGUCAUCAAAAUAGAUAAAAAGGGAUGUAUCUAUAACUAAAAUACGUCUAGAUACAUCCCCUUUUGUUCAUCUUGAUGACAAGUAUUUCCGAACGGAGGGAGUAUUUC
rfam:Triticum aestivum genome assembly, contig: Triticum_aestivum_CS42_TGACv1_scaffold_322003_4BL